rnacentral:rRNA from 1 species
GACGAACGCUGGCGGCGUGCUUAACACAUGCAAGUCGAACGGAAAGGCCCUGCUUUUGUGGGGUGCUCGAGUGGCGAACGGGUGAGUAACACGUGAGUAACCUGCCCUUGACUUUGGGAUAACUUCAGGAAACUGGGGCUAAUACCGGAUAGGAGCUCCUGCUGCAUGGUGGGGGUUGGAAAGUUUCGGCGGUUGGGGAUGGACUCGCGGCUUAUCAGCUUGUUGGUGGGGUAGUGGCUUACCAAGGCUUUGACGGGUAGCCGGCCUGAGAGGUUGACCGGCCACAUUAGGACUGAGAUACGGCCCAGACUCCUACGGGAGGCAGCAGUGGGGAAUAUUGCACAAUGGGCGGAAGCCUGAUGCAGCAACGCCGCGUGCGGGAUGACGGCCUUCGGGUUGUAAACCGCUUUCGCCUGUGACGAAGCGUGAGUGACGGUAAUGGGUAAAGAAGCACCGGCUAACUACGUG